rnacentral:rRNA from 1 species
CCUACGGGUGGCAGCAGUGAGGAAUAUUGGUCAAUGGUCGGGAGACUGAACCAGCCAAGCCGCGUGAGGGAUGAAGGUACAGAGUAUCGUAAACCUCUUUUGUCAGGGAACAAAGUCGGGGACGUGUCCCCGGAUGAGUGUACCUGAAGAAAAAGCAUCGGCUUACUCCGUGCCAGCAGCCGCGGUAAUACGGAGGAUGCGAGCGUUAUCCGGAUUUAUUGGGUUUAAAGGGUGCGUAGGCGGGUUGUUAAGUCAGCUGUUAAAGGCCGGGGCUCAACCCCGGAACCGCCGUUGAAACUGGCAGUCUUGAGUUGGGGAGAGGUAUGCGGAAUGCGCGGUGUAGCGGUGAAAUGCAUAGAUAUCGCGCAGAACUCCGAUUGCGAAGGCAGCAUGCUGGCUCCACACUGACGCUGAGGCACGAAAGCGUGGGUAUCGAACAGGAUUAGAUACCCCUGUAGUC